AUUGAACGCUGGCGGCAGGCUUAACACAUGCAAGUCGAGCGAGCGGCGGACGGGUGAGUAAUGUCUGGGAAACUGCCUGAUGGAGGGGGAUAACUACUGGAAACGGUAGCUAAUACCACAUACCAUCAUAUGUGCCGAGAUGGGAUGAGCUAGUAGGGGGGGGAAUGGCUCACCUAGGCGACGCUCCCUAGCUGGUCUGAGAGGCUGACCAGCCACACUGGAACUGAGACACGGCCCAGACUCCUACGGGAGGCAGCAGUGGGGAAUAUUGCACAAUGGGCGAAAGCCUGAUGCAGCCAGGCCGCGUGUGUGAAGAAGGCCUGCGGGUUGUAAAGCACUUUCAGCGAGGAGGCGUUACUCGCAGAAAAAGCAACGGCUAACUCCGUGCCAGCAGCCGCGGUAAUAC
rnacentral:rRNA from 1 species